rnacentral:rRNA from 1 species
GAUGAACGCUGGCGGCGUGCCUAAUACAUGCAAGUCGAGCGAACAGACGAGGAGCUUGCUCCUCUGACGUUAGCGGCGGACGGGUGAGUAACACGUGGAUAACCUACCUAUAAGACUGGGAUAACUUCGGGAAACCGGAGCUAAUACCGGAUAAUAUAUUGAACCGCAUGGUUCAAUAGUGAAAGACGGUUUUGCUGUCACUUAUAGAUGGAUCCGCGCCGCAUUAGCUAGUUGGUAAGGUAACGGCUUACCAAGGCAACGAUGCGUAGCCGACCUGAGAGGGUGAUCGGCCACACUGGAACUGAGACACGGUCCAGACUCCUACGGGAGGCAGCAGUAGGGAAUCUUCCGCAAUGGGCGAAAGCUUGACGGAGCAACGCCGCGUGAGUGAUGAAGGUCUUCGGAUCGUAAAACUCUGUUAUUACGGAAGAACAAAUGUGUAAGUAACUAUGCACGUCUUGACGGUACCUAAUCAGAAAGCCACGGCUAACUACGUG